rnacentral:rRNA from 1 species
AGGAUGAACGCUGGCGGCGUGCCUAAUACAUGCAAGUCGUGCGGAAAGGCCACUUCGGUGGUACUCGAGCGGCGGACGGCAGAGUAACGCGUAGGAACAUACCCCAAACUGAGGGAUAACUGCUCGAAAGAGUAGCUAAUACCGCAUGUGAUCUUCGGAUUAAAGCUUCGGCGGUUUGGGAAUGGCCUGCGUCCGAUUAGCUUGUUGGUGAGGUAAUAGCUCACCAAGGCGACGAUCGGUAGCUGGUCUGAGAGGAUGAUCAGCCUGACUGGAACUGAGAACGGUCCAGACUCCUACGGGAGGCAGCAGUAGGGAAUUUUCCACAAUGGGCGAAAGCCUGAUGGAGCAACGCCGCGUGCAGGAUGAAUGCCUUCGGGUUGUAAACUGCUUUUAUUAGUGAAGAAUAUGACGGUAACUAAUGAAUAAGGGUCGGCUAACUACGUG